rnacentral:rRNA from 1 species
UACGAAGGGGGCUAGCGUUGCUCGGAAUUACUGGGCGUAAAGCGUGCGCAGGCGGUUUUGUAAGUCUGACGUGAAAUCCCCGGGCUCAACCUGGGAAUUGCGUUGGAGACUGCAAGGCUGGAGUCUGGCAGAGGGGGGUAGAAUUCCACGUGUAGCAGUGAAAUGCGUAGAGAUGUGGAGGAACACCGAUGGCGAAGGCAGCCCCCUGGGUCAAAACUGACGCUCAUGCACGAAAGCGUGGGGAGCAAACAGG